CGCUUUUUGUAUUUAUUAAAUAAAAAGUAGAGCCUGCCCAGUGAAGUAAAUUUAAACGGCCGCAGUACCCUGACUGUGCGAAGGUAGCAUAAUCAUUUGCUCUUUAAUUAGGAGCUGGAAUGAAUGGUUUGACGAGGGCUUAACUGUCUUAAAUUAAUUUGUUAGAAAUUGACUUUUAGGUGAAGAGGCCUAAAUUAAUUCAUAGGACAAGAAGACCCUAUUGAGCUUUAAUUUGUUUAUUUAAGUAUAAGUAUAUAAAUAAAGUUUAAUUAAAUAAAAGAUUUGGAUUGGGGCGAUCUAGGAAAAAGAUAAUCUUCCUUUGUAUUAGGUAAGUUAUAUAAAUAAGAGAUCCAGGAAUAUCCUGAGUAUAAGAAUAAGUUACCAUAGGGAUAACAGCGUAAUCUUUUUUGAGAGUUCUUAUCGAAAAAAAGGGUUGCGACCUCGAUGUUGGACUAAGGUAUCCUGGGGGUGUAGCAGUUCCCGAUGGUUGGUCUGUUCGACCAUU
rnacentral:rRNA from 1 species